AUUGAACGCUGGCGGCAGGCCUAACACAUGCAAGUCGAACGGUAACAGGAAGCAGCUUGCUGCUUCGCUGACGAGUGGCGGACGGGUGAGUAAUGUCUGGGAAACGGCCUGAUGGAGGGGGAUAACUACUGGAAACGGUAGCUAAUACCGCAUAACGUCGCAAGACCAAAGAGGGGGACCUUAGGGCCUCUUGCCAUCGGAUGUGCCCAGAUGGGAUUAGCUAGUAGGUGGGGUAACGGCUCACCUAGGCGACGAUCCCUAGCUGGUCUGAGAGGAUGACCAGCCACACUGGAACUGAGCCACGGUCCAGACUCCUACGGGAGGCAGCAGUGGGGAAUAUUGCACAAUGGGCGCAAGCCUGAUGCAGCCAUGCCGCGUGUAUGAAGAAGGCCUUCGGGUUGUAAAGUACUUUCAGCGGGGAGGAAGGGAGUAAAGUUAAUACCUUUGCUCAUUGACGUUACCCGCAGAAGAAGCACCGGCUAACUCCGUG
rnacentral:rRNA from 1 species